UAAUAAGUGUUUUAUGGCACUUUUUAAAUCCAUAUCCACCUUGUGUGCAAUGUCAGUCGGUUCUUUUCGUCAAUGAAAAGGAUCGACCAAACAUCAACCUUAUUCUAAUUGAACUCUUUGUCUGAAAAAUAUUAUGAAUAAACUAAUUCAAAAUA
rnacentral:misc_RNA from 1 species